GGACACUUCCGUAUUCCGUACUGACAUCUGGAAUGGUUCCUGAAAACACUGGUGAGGAAAACAAGUUAUCUCACAGUUCGUGGCUUCUUGGUACUCUGCAGAGUUAUUGCCGUUUGCUUGAAUAUUUUGUCAAUUCGGCUUUGCUCUUGUCUCCAACUGCAACAUCCCAAGCACAGCUCCUUGUUCAGCCAGUUGCUGUCGGUUUGUCUAUUGGGUUGUUUCCUGUUCCAAGAGACGCAGAAGUGUUUGUCCGUAUGCUGCAGUCUCAGGUUCUAGAUGUUACACUUCCUAUUUGGAACCAUCAGAUGUUCCCCAGUUGUAAUCCAGGGUUUAUUAAUUCUAUUAUUAUGCUUAUUACUUACAUCUA
rnacentral:misc_RNA from 1 species